UACGUAGGGGGCUAGCGUUGUCCGGAAUCAUUGGGCGUAAAGCGCGUGUAGGCGGUUCGGUAAGUCCGCUGUGAAAGUCGGGGGCUCAACCCUCGGAUGCCGGUGGAUACUGUCGGACUAGAGUACGGAAGAGGCGAGUGGAAUUCCUGGUGUAGCGGUGAAAUGCGCAGAUAUCAGGAGGAACACCGAUUGCGAAGGCAGCUCGCUGGGACGUUACUGACGCUGAGGCGCGAAAGCGUGGGGAGCAAACAGG
rnacentral:rRNA from 1 species